CACUCCUGCGGGAGGCAGCAGUGGGGAAUUUUGGACAAUGGGCGAAAGCCUGAUCCAGCAAUGCCGCGUGUGUGAAGAAGGCCUUCGGGUUGUAAAGCACUUUUGUCCGGAAAGAAAUCCUUGGCUCUAAUACAGUCGGGGGAUGACGGUACCGGAAGAAUAAGCACCGGCUAACUACGUGCCAGCAGCCGCGGUAAUACGUAGGGUGCGAGCGUUAAUCGGAAUUACUGGGCGUAAAGCGUGCGCAGGCGGUUUGCUAAGACCGAUGUGAAAUCCCCGGGCUCAACCUGGGAACUGCAUUGGUGACUGGCAGGCUAGAGUAUGGCAGAGGGGGGUAGAAUUCCACGUGUAGCAGUGAAAUGCGUAGAGAUGUGGAGGAAUACCGAUGGCGAAGGCAGCCCCCUGGGCCAAUACUGACGCUCAUGCACGAAAGCGUGGGGAGCAAACAGGAUUAGAAACCCUAGUAGUCCCA
rnacentral:rRNA from 1 species